rnacentral:rRNA from 1 species
GAUGAACGCUAGCUACAGGCUUAACACAUGCAAGUCGAGGGGCAGCAUGAACUUAGCUUGCUAAGUUUGAUGGCGACCGGCGCACGGGUGAGUAACACGUAUCCAACCUGCCGAUGACUCGGGGAUAGCCUUUCGAAAGAAAGAUUAAUACCCGAUGGCAUAGUUCUUCCGCAUGGUAGAACUAUUAAAGAAUUUCGGUCAUCGAUGGGGAUGCGUUCCAUUAGGUUGUUGGCGGGGUAACGGCCCACCAAGCCUUCGAUGGAUAGGGGUUCUGAGAGGAAGGUCCCCCACAUUGGAACUGAGACACGGUCCAAACUCCUACGGGAGGCAGCAGUGAGGAAUAUUGGUCAAUGGACGAGAGUCUGAACCAGCCAAGUAGCGUGAAGGAUGACUGCCCUAUGGGUUGUAAACUUCUUUUAUAAGGGAAUAAACCCUCCACGUGUGGGAGCUUGUAUGUACCUUAUGAAUAAGCAUCGGCUAAACUCCGUG